ACUGCCAUACAUAGGUUGAAACACUGGUUCUUGUAUGAUCACUGAAGUUAAGCAACAUUGAUCUGGUCAGUACUUAGAUAGGUGGCUGUCUGGGAAUAUCAGGUGCUGUAAG